rnacentral:rRNA from 1 species
GGAUUAGAUACCCUGGUAGUCCACGCCGUAAACGAUGCACACUAGGUCGGGGGAGCUCUCACGCUUUCCCGGCCGAAGGUAAACUGAUUAGUGUGCCGCCUGGGGAGUACGGUCGCAAGGCUAAAACUCAAAGGAAUUGACGGGGGCUCACACAAGCGGUGGAGCAUGUUGCUUAAUUCGAGUCAACGCGAAGAACCUUACCUGGUCUUGACAUGUGCGGAUUAACCUAUGGAAACAUAGGCCACGCCCUUUGGGUGGAACGUACACAGGUGCUGCAUGGCUGUCGUCAGCUCGUGCCG